UACACCAAAACCAAAACCAAAAAACACCCUCUUCUCUUUCUCAUAUUUAAUCCUAAACCCCCCAUUAAUCAUAAUUUACCCACCCACCUGAUCAUCAACGACUCUUCUUCUUCAUCAUCGUCAUGUCUUCAAUCUUGAAUUCUAGCAGCGUUGUCUUGGCCACGGCCAUGGCCGUUUCCGGCACCGUUAUCGUCCUCGCUUUUCGUCUCCAAAAACUCACGUCCGUUACCUCUCCGUCCCUCCCAAGAUCUUGCAUCUCCUCAGAUGAGAAGAAAAAGGACAGGAAGAAGAAGAAAAAAGUGCAUUUCGCGGAGGACGUGGUGGACCCAAUAGGCAACAGCGAGGAUUUUAGAAAAAAGCUGCUUUUAAGGAGUUACAAACCGGCGCCGGCGAGGAAAAUGCCGGCGAACCGGACGGCUCUGUACGCCGGAAUUCUGAGGGACCGUGUAGUUAUCAACCGCCCGACUUAUUCGUGUUGACCGUCACAUUGACCAACUACCACCGACUUUAUUUAGCAGAUCAAUCACUAACUUGUGGAAAUCUCGGUUUUACCCUUGUUAAAUUUGUGUAUGUAUUUAUUGGUGGGGGGAGAAGAAGUAGAAUAUUUUAUUUUAGCAGUUGUAUUUUAGCUGUACAUGAAAUUAGAAGUAAUGGACGAUGUCUCUUAUUGAAUGAGUUGUCAGUGCCCCCAA